rnacentral:lncRNA from 1 species
UUUUUAUUGGGUAUAUAAUUUAGCUGAGUUUAUAAAGCUUAGGAAUUAGAAACAAAACUACUUGUAACAAGACACACUGGGACCACAUCUCCUGGCUCCCUGUCCAACAUUUCUAGUGUUUAAAUGCCAGGUGUCUGGUAUCACUAGGUAAACGCUGGCAGUAUUUUAUAUUGGCCAGCCUGAGUGAUCAGUAUAUUCCAACCUUCUAUACCAGCCUUUAUCUGUGGUGGAAGCAAACUUAGAGUAGUUCUGUGGUUGGCCUCUCUUGUGCCAACCUAGUGAAGUUCUGUGGUUGACUUCUCUGUGUCAGAUGCCUUGAUGGUUUUCUCUCUUGUAACAUGCUCCCUACGAUUAUCCUAUAGUUGGUACUAGAAUCUUUUUUCUUGGACAGUCUUUACUUGUUAUCUAAGGAGAGGACAUUUACCAGCAGAGGGUCCACCAAAGAAGCAGAAGAUGGUCUUACCCUGCUUGAAGUUGGGAAGCACAGGCUUGAGCAGGUUAGAAACCCAGGCUUGCAAGUGCAUGAAGUGAUCACCAAAUGUCAGGAAUAUGCAUUGAUUU